CUUUUUAUUUUAUUUUUCUCCCU
rnacentral:sRNA from 1 species